GCGGGUCCUGCCUAGUGGGAAAAGUUUAAAGUCUGAGUCAAAGCGGCGCGCGGGACGCAGGAGGUCUGCGCAGAGGAGAGGAAGCGGAGCUGUCCGCGGUGCUGAAACGCUGAAUAUCGCCUUUCACUUCCUCCCCGCGACACCUAAGAGAGAUGCUUUGAAGAGCGAGUCCUCAUCAUUUUCCUCAUAGAUGAAGAAGAAAACAAAGGAAGGGCAGCUUUUCAGGAAAAAACAACAUUUUCAAGCCUGCAAACUCUAUCAUUUAUCUGCACAACACAGAUUGAACUCUUAGUUUGUAAUUACCAAGAGUUUGUGUUAAGCGAGUCAAAAAAGUUUCAGAUUGUUGUUUGUUCUUUUAGGAAUGGUCGAUUAUGCAGACGAGAAUAAAUAUAAGGGGUUACCCGAACAGCAGCGAGCUAGAUCCAAUUAAACCUCACUGAGCAUGCCUUGGCUUGCUGCACUGUUUACCAGAGGGCAAAUUAAUCUGCACCGCUGAUUUGUGCUGUGAUUUCUGCCUGCCCUGUGGCUUGUGGGAAACACUGCACCUGGGAGUAAUCAGGUAAUUCACCCCAGAAGUCACACUUAUUACAAAGAAGACCAUGCAGGGUUGCACCCCUUCCAGCAGCUUCUAGCCACUUCACAAAACCCACAAGAGGACACUUCAGCGUUCGAGGGAUCCCUCUCCCACCAGCAUGACUGAGGUGACUCACUGGGCCGUGGACUAUGAGGUCUCCUCUCCUGCUCCAGCUGGGUUCCCCAGGAGCCCCACAGCGCUGCAGCCCAUGCCGGGACACCCCGAUCAGGGAUCGGCCCUGUGCUUUGUGGGACUCCUGGUGCUGCUGCUGAUGUUUCUGGUGGUUCGAUGCGUUCGUAUCUUGCUGGAUCCGUACAGCAGCAUGCCGUCAUCGACGUGGCUGGGUCACAAAGAGGGGCUUGAUAAAGGGCAGUUUGAUUAUGCGAUUGUGUGAACAUGACUGCAUGAUGGAAAACACAUUCAUUUGAAGUCAAAAUGAUCAACGUAUUGUUGAGUAUUCUGGUAUUUAUAAGCUUUAGAUGAUCGCUGAUGCUUUAUGAUUAUUUAUCCUGUUUUUGAUGCAAGAAUUAUUUUAUAGAUCCUUGAUCUGAAUAAAAAAUAUGGGCUGAGUUGAUGAUUAAAACCAAAACAUGGAGGACGUUUGCAGACAAGCAAACUUGCUCAUUUAGCAACAUCUUUAUUGCUUUAUUUGUCCAAAAAAAGUCACUUUUAUGUCUUAUCUCCUGUUCAAAUGCAUCAUGAUAUCAAUAGAAAUGAGAUAUUUCUCAGGUGAAACAACUUCAAAAUAACCAAAGUCCCUACAGCCUGACAGACACAUUAAACUUUUGCUGUUAUUUAUCGUCGUUGAGUCAAAUUCAUUUGUUUUUUUGUUGGACUGUAAAGCCUCUAAUGCAUUCCAGUCAGUGAGGCAUACUUUGUGAUUUAGUUCUUUCAUGCAGUUCCUCCUUUAAGAGGCUUAGGGGGGGCUCAGUGGUCAUGGUCAUUGCACUGAGUGAACGGCAGUCAGUUAUAAUCAUAACAUGAACUUAUGAUUAUGGGAAGCACGUACUCCAGUGCCCUCUUCAUAAUCCAUUUGGUCGUCAGGCUCCAUCUAAUGCACCAGCCAAAAUCUGUUCAGCAGUGCCUGCAGGGAUACGAGUAGCUCUGGUGUCUGUUUCAUUGAACGACUUUUCCGCUCUUGAUGCCACCGAUUUCUACGAUUGCUGCUGUCCAUCACGGUCUAAAGCCAUUUAUGGAUCUGAAAAGAUCUGCUGAAAAGCCCUCUGGUGGUAAUGUUUUGUUUGUUUCCCUGUCAUUGUUUCCUCAGUGAUUGUAACCAAAACAUAAAUUUAUAAGACAUUACACUUUUAUUUUUGUCUUUAACUUUAUUUUAUACUUUUCCUAAUCACACUUUCUUGGAAGUGGAUUGCUUGAAGUUGAAUAAAAGAUUGUCUCUUCCUUUUU